rnacentral:rRNA from 1 species
AUUGAACGCUGGCGGCAUGCCUUACACAUGCAAGUCGAACGGUAACAGGUCUUCGGAUGCUGACGAGUGGCGAACGGGUGAGUAAUACAUCGGAACGUGCCUAGUAGUGGGGGAUAACUACCCGAAAGAGUGGCUAAUACCGCAUGAGAUCUACGGAUGAAAGCAGGGGAUCGCAAGACCUUGUGCUACUAGAGCGGCCGAUGGCAGAUUAGGUAGUUGGUGGGAUAAAAGCUUACCAAGCCGACGAUCUGUAGCUGGUCUGAGAGGACGAUCAGCCACACUGGGACUGAGACACGGCCCAGACUCCUACGGGAGGCAGCAGUGGGGAAUUUUGGACAAUGGGCGAAAGCCUGAUCCAGCAAUGCCGCGUGCAGGAUGAAGGCCUUCGGGUUGUAAAUUGCUUUUGUACGGAACGAAAAGCCCCGGGUUAAUACCCUGGGGUCAUGACGGUACCGUAAGAAUAAGCACCGGCUAACUACGUGCCAGCCGCCGCAGUAA